rnacentral:rRNA from 1 species
UACGUAGGGGGCAAGCGUUGUCCGGAAUUAUUGGGCGUAAAGCGCGCGCAGGCGGCUAUGUAAGCCUGGUGUAUAACCUCAGGGCUCAACCCUGGGUCGCACUGGAAACUGUGUAGCUUGAGUACAGAAGAGGAAAGUGGAAUUCCACGUGUAGCGGUGAAAUGCGUAGAGAUCCGGAGGAACACCAGUGGCGAAGGCGGCCUUCUGGGUCGACCCUGACGCUGAGAGGCGAAAGCGUGGGGAGCGAACGGG